rnacentral:rRNA from 1 species
UAUGGUGACUAUUGCACUAGUGCCCACCUCUUCCCAUUUCGAACAGAGUAGUUAAGCCUAGUUGCGCCGAUGGUACUAGAGUGAUAUCUGGGAGAGUAGGUCGUCGCCGAUU